ensembl:snRNA U6 U6 spliceosomal RNA
GUGCUCACUUCAGCAGUACAUAUACUAAAAUUGGAAUGAUACACAGAAGAUUAGCAUGGCCCCUUCGCAGGGAUGACACACAAAUUCUUAAAGAGUUCCAUAUUUUU